rnacentral:rRNA from 1 species
UACGAAGGGGGCGAGCGUUGUUCGGAUUUACUGGGCGUAAAGGGCGCGCAAGCGGCUCAUUUUGUCAGGCGUGAAAGCCCCGGGCUUAACCUGGGAACUGCGUUUGAUACGGAUGGGCUAGAGUUCGGGAGAGGAGAGUGGAAUUCCCAGUGUAGAGGUGAAAUUCGUAGAUAUUGGGAAGAACACCGGUGGCGAAGGCGGCUCUCUGGACCGAUACUGACGCUGAGGCGCGAAAGCGUGGGGAGCAAACAGG